AGUGAACGCUGGCGGUAGGCCUAACACAUGCAAGUCGAACGGCAGCACAGUAAGAGCGUGCUCUUACGGUUAGCGAGUGGCGGGCGGGUGAGGCAUGCAUCACAAUCUACUUUGUCGGGGGGGAUAACGUAGGGAAACAUACGCUAAUACCUCAUAUUACCUACGGCUGGAAGCAAGAGAGCUUCAGACCUUGCGCGACUGAAUUAGACGGUGCCGGAUUAGCUAGUUGGGUUGGUAAGGGCUCACCAAGGCGACGAUGCGUAGCUGGUCUGAGAGGAUGAUCAGCCACACUGGAACUGAGACACGGUCCAGACUCCUACGGGAGGCAGCAGUGGGGAAUCUUGCGCAAUGGGCGAGAGCCUGACGCAGCAACGCCGCGUGAGUGAUGAAGGUCUUCGGGUCGUAAAGCUCUUUUAUUAGGAAAGAACAGAUGUGUAAUUAACUGUGCACGUCUUGACGGUACCUAAUCAGAAAGCCACGGCUAACUACGUG
rnacentral:rRNA from 1 species